GAUGAACGCUGGCGGCGUGCCUAAUACAUGCAAGUCGAGCGAACGGACGAGAAGCUUGCUUCUCUGAUGUUAGCGGCGGACGUGUGAGUAACACGUGGAUAACCUACCUAUAAGACUGGGAUAACUUCGGGAAACCGGAGCUAAUACCGGAUAAUAUUUUGAACCGCAUGGUUCAAAAGUGAAAGACGGUCUUGCUGUCACUUAUAGAUGGAUCCGCGCUGCAUUAGCUAGUUGGUAAGGUAACGGCUUACCAAGGCAACGAUGCAUAGCCGACCUGAGAGGGUGAUCGGCCACACUGGAACUGAGACACGGUCCAGACUCCUACGGGAGGCAGCAGUAGGGAAUCUUCCGCAAUGGGCGAAAGCCUGACGGAGCAACGCCGCGUGAGUGAUGAAGGUCUUCGGAUCGUAAAACUCUGUUAUUAGGGAAGAACAUAUGUGUAAGUAACUGUGCACAUCUUGACGGUACCUAAUCAGAAAGCCACGGCUAACUACGUG
rnacentral:rRNA from 1 species